GGGCCCGCACAAGCGGUGGAGCAUGUGGUUUAAUUCGAAGCAACGCGAAGAACCUUACCAGGUCUUGACAUACUCGUGCUAUUCCUAGAGAUAGAGCUUUCCCUUCGGGACAAAGUGACAGGUGGUGCAUGGUUGUCGUCAGCUCGUGUCGUGAGAUGUUGGGUUAAGUCCCGCAACGAGCGCAACCCUUAUUGUUAGUUGCCAUCAUUUAGUUGGGCACUCUAGCGAGACUGCCGGUGACAAACCGGAGGAAGGUGGGG
rnacentral:rRNA from 1 species